rnacentral:rRNA from 1 species
AGUCGAGGCCGGCASAUCKGKAGMWWRCUCMCUGAUGUUAGCGGCGGACGGGUGAGUAACACGUGGGUAACCUGCCUGUAAGACUGGGAUAACUCCGGGUAAACCGGGGCUAAUACCGGAUGGUUGUUUGAACCGCAUGGUUCAAACAUAAAAGGUGGCUUCGGCUACCACUUACAGAUGGACCCGCGGCGCAUUAGCUAGUUGGUGAGGUAACGGCUCACCAAGGCAACGAUGCGUAGCCGACCUGAGAGGGUGAUCGGCCACACUGGGACUGAGACACGGCCCAGACUCCUACGGGAGGCAGCAGUAGGGAAUCUUCCGCAAUGGACGAAAGUCUGACGGAGCAACGCCGCGUGAGUGAUGAAGGUUUUCGGAUCGUAAAGCUCUGUUGUUAGGGAAGAACAAGUACCGUUCGAAUAGGGCGGUACCUUGACGGUACCUAACCAGAAAGCCACGGCUAACUACGUGCCAGCAGCCGCGGUAAUACGUAGGUGGCAAGCGUUGUCCGGAAUUAUUGGGCGUAAAGGGCUCGCAGGCGGUUUCUUAAGUCUGAUGUGAAAGCCCYYGAGCUCAUUAUCUUUCRKGGAGGGUCAUUGGAAAAUAAGAGGGGGGGGGGGGG